GCUUGUCUCAAAGAUUAAGCCAUGCAUGUCUAAGUACAAGCCUCAGUAAGGUGAAACCGCGAAUGGCUCAUUAAAUCACACCUAAUCUACUGGAAAGUUACUAGUUACUUGGAUAACUGAGGUAAUUCUAGAGCUAAUACAUGACCAGAGGCGCGCCCGCGCCGCAUUUAUUAGAUACAACCAGCCCUCCGGGCCUUGGCGAGUCAUAAUAACUGAGCUGACCGUAUUCGUACGGCGUUUCUUAUUAAUUUCUGCCCUAUCAGCUUUCGAUGGUAGGGUAUUGGCCUACCAUGGCGUUAACGGGUAACGGAGAAUUAGGGUUCGAUUCCGGAGAGGGAGCCUGAGAGAUGGCUACCACAUCCAAGGAAGGCAGCAGG
rnacentral:rRNA from 1 species